GGCCGUGUGGCUCAAUGGCAGAGCGUCUGACUACGAUUGUCGUUUGGUAUAACCCCUCGACUACGUUAUCAGAAGGUCGCAGGUUCGACCCCUGUCUCGGUCA
rnacentral:tRNA from 1 species